UAAAAUAAUAGAGAGCAUCGCAACUUGUUUGAAGUUUCUCGUCUAACCACUGAUAUAGUACCUGCGAUUCCCUCCAAUCACGAACUCGCACCGAUUCCUUUUUAAUCUGUUUAAUUCAUUUUUCGCCGUCUUUGUUUUAAUGUACCGUUAAAGAUAGUUUUUGCUUCCUUUGCAGGUUAAUUGCCUGUUAACUUCUAGCUCAGUGUCAUAUUUUGCCUCCAUUCACUUCUGAAUCCAUUGAUGAUGUAAUGGUGGACAUAUUGAAUAAACUUGCAUAUAUUCAAUUGGUUGUCACCUUUAUAUAAGCCAGAUGUCAUUCAUGAUUAUAAGAGGGUAUGUUGUGGUGGUCUCGGUUCACCUCUUUGAGUACUGUCUUCUGAAACUUGACCUGAGGAUGUGUGACCAGUAAAAUGAUACUUCAGACAUGUGUUCCCUGAUCCACAAACAAAGACUGGUACCUUACUCGAGUGAGAAAAUCAACAACAAACUCUUCUUCCCCACCUCUACAUGUCAUGUGAAGAAGAGCACAAAAUGCAGCCCUAUCAAAACAGUCCAGGUUAAAACAAAAAGUAGCUUGCAUCCUACUGUUAAUGUGAAGACAAGGGUCCCACGUAUCCCACAUGGCAAAGUCUCAACACGAGAGACCCC